rnacentral:lncRNA from 1 species
CAGAAUAGUCAUGAUGUGAAGAUAUAAGAAAUAGAAUUCAUCAAAUAGAGAUCCAAUUCUGUGCUAUAUCCAAAUGUAUAAAUAAAAAACAAAACAGAAGUGUAGAUGAUCUCUUCUCAGGACUCAUUUGCAUCUGUAAAUGAAUGUGAGAGUGUGCUGGAGAGCUGGUCCAGGUGAGGACUCACCAUUGUUGGCAGGGAUUUGAGUGUAGUCAAUCAAUCAGAAAGUGACUGCCUUCCAAUAACAACAUGUCCUGGCUCUAUGAAAAAACUGAUCUGUGAAGCUGCAGAUUGAGGACUGAUUGCUUUGAGAAUACUGAGCCUUCAUCCAGUAGCUGUUCGAAGCAGAAACAGGCACCCAUAUCUAAGCACUGAACCAUACUCCUGGUAUCCAGUUGUUGAGAAGGAGGAGGGAUGAGCAAAGGAGCCAAGAUGGUGCUGCAGAAACCCACAGAAACAGUUGACCUGACCUACUGAGAGCAUGAAGACCCUAGUCAUAAAGCUGGAGAAACAACAUUGGAUCAGACCAAGCCCUCUGAAUGUGGGUGCCAGCUAGGAGGCCAAGGCAGUCUAUGGGACCUCUAACAGUGGAGCCAGUCUUUAACCCUAGAGCAUAAAUGGACUUUGGGAGCCCAUUUCCUAUGGAGGGAUACUAUUGCAGCCCAGAUACAGCAAGGAGGGCCUAGGCCUUUCCCAAAAAGGAUAUGACAGACUUUGAAGGUCUCUGGUGGAGAGG